UCGGUUUUUAUACACAGCAGACGUAAACAAAAGUGAAAGUCGGACGACAGCAAUAGAUAUGAAGGCAAAAUCAUUUCAUUAACUGUAUUUAGCAUCUUUGACAAAUGGUGAGCUUCAAGAGAGCUAUGGGAAUUUUGAAAACAUGCAUACAAGGGUGACAUAGAUCCCAUGAAGUAAUGCUGCAGAAUGAAACCUCAGUGAUCUGAUUGUUGCUGUUUUUCUUACUAAAGCUUGCAAAGGAAUAAACAGUGCCAAACACACGAAUUAUGAAAGUGAUUGAUAUCAUCUGACAUGGUAAAUUAUGACAAUCUUGAUGAUCUGCCAAUAUGGAUAGUCACUACAUUUUAGGAACACAAUAUCUUCUAUGGAUUGAACAUUUUUUCUGGAGCCAUUACUUAAUUAAUGCAUGUGUAUACAGCCAAUGUCGCACUGGUGUGAAAGUUGAUGGGGUCAGUUCUUUGAUACCUUGAUUACUAAAGACACACACUCUCUAUGGAAGAGCUACUCAGGACUGUGUUUUCAGCAAUUAUGGGUAGUUCAAAAAGUUAACAAAGUGAAACAUAAAAGUGACAGCGAUUUUAAGUCAAUGAAAUUCAUUGUUCCUUAUUAGCUCACCUGAGCUUAAAGCUUAAGUGAGCUCAGCUAUCUGAUCACUUUUUGUUUGGCGUCGGUCUGUCUGCUUUUACAUUUUCGACUUCUUUUCCCGAACCACUUGGCCAAUAUCAACCUAACUUUGCACAAAUCAUCCUUAUUUAGGUGAAGGAAUUUAAGGUUAUUAAAAUGAAAUUUGUUGGUACAUGAUUCUUAAAAAAAUCCUCUUCUCAAAAACCAAUUGGCCAGAAAAGGUGAUACUUGUGUGAAAGCAUCAUCAGGUAGUGUAGAUUCAAGUUUGUUCAAAUCAUGGUCCCCAGAGGUAGGGUAGGGUGGGGCCACAACUUUUUGUGCAAGAUCUACAGUACUUAUUUGUCAACAUAUUUUGAAUUUGAUAUUGUACACUUAGUGCUUAUUUGAUAAGCUUUUGUCGCUCAGGUGAGGGAUGUGGCCUUUAGGCCUCUUGUUUAAUGAUUUAGAAAUCUGUGAUAUUUUCAUUAGAACUAUCAUACUAUUUCACCCAACUGUAUAAACUUUACCGAUAAAAAGUUGUGUUAGAUUAUGAAAUAUUUAAUCAAUUAUCUGAUGUGUAAUUUACUAAUGCAUGCACUAUAAAAUUAUAACAAGGAGAAAAUAUGCAAAAAUUUAAGAUUUUUUGUGAUGAACAUUAGUAGUCAGUGGUGGUUAUGUUUGUUAAUUAUGUAAUGUGUGAAUGUUAGAAUUCACUUUCAUUGAAAUGAAGUAUCAAUUGUUUUAUUAAUAAAAAAACCCAUUUUAUUAUG
rnacentral:sRNA from 1 species